GUAUGUGCUUAAAAUUCUUAAUCUAUCCAAGACUAUUAUCAUGAAGGACCUCUCCGUUGCUCAGAGUGGGGUGUUGAAGUCUCUCACUAUUAUUAUGUGGGGUACAAUAUGUACUUUGAGUUCUAGUAAAAUUUCUUUAUGAAUUUGGUUGCCCUUGUAUUUGGAGCAUAGAUAUUCCGAAUUGUGAGUUCAUCUUUGAUGAAUUAUCCUUUGAUAAGCAUGAAGUAACUUUACUUACCUUAAAAAACAAAAAAAAAAGUAUUUUGUGAACCUCCUCUUUUCACAGUAGGCCCUCUUGACUACUGAGGCGUUUUUGUAACAGCUUUGAAGGAAUUUUAAAAGGAAAAAAAAAGAUGUAAACAAUUUCACAGUUCCAUUUACUCAUACCUAAGUGAUAUGUAUACAAAAUUCUGUACAUGAAACAUAUUUUCAUUGAUCCAGUGCUAAUUUUAUAUUAAGUCAGUUUCUUUUCUAGGAGUCUUCUGUGCUUCCUUCUUUAUAUGGCACAAUGCAAAACUGAAUUCUUUAAUGUAACCCUUAUAACUUAUUUUUAAAUUUUAUGUUAUGGUUAUUGUUUUUUUUUUUCUCCUUUCACGUGUGUAUGUGCACAACUAGUGUGUCUUGUACCUUAGGAAGCCAGAUGAAAGCAUUGAAUCCCCUGAAACUGAAGUUAUAGGUAGUGAGCCACCUUGUGGGUUUUGGUACUCCAAUCUCAGAAAUCUGGAAGGGAACCAGUGCUCUUAACUGCUGAAUCAUCUCUCCAAUCCCUUCAUUGUUUUGUUUGGUUUUGUUUUGUUUUGUUUUUUUAUGAAACGAAUUAUCUAACUGUAAGUGGAAGACAACUUACUAAACAAUGAGAGAAUGAUACUCAGAUUCUAAAGAAUCUGUUUUAAAUUAUAUGUAACUGAAUGCUAAGUGAGCUUUCUCAGAAGACAGUAACUUGUCUUUGAGAUAUGGUGUCAUUAUGUAGUUCAGGCUGGCCUGCAUUUUCCUAUUUAACCUAUGCAGUCUUUACACUGGAAAUCUCCUGCUUAAGCUUCUAAUAUUAGGAUCAUACACAAAAAAAACAUCUUACAUGGCUUACUAAACAAUGCUCCUAAUACCUAUUUUUUGGACUUAUUUAUGUGUAUUAGUGUUUUGCUUACAGUUAUAUAUGUGCACCACAUGUGUACCUGUUGCUCAGAUAUCAGUUGAUUAUUUCAGAUACCUGGAACUGGAGUCAGAUAGUUGUGAGCCACCAUAUGAGUGCUAGACACCAAACCUAUGUCCUUUGCAAAGAACAGGAAGUACUCUUAACUGCUGAGCCAUAUCUCUACCCCCAUGAAACAAUAUUAUAUUUUUAAAAAAUAAUAUUUUGCUUCUUUCAAGUUACCCAUUUUACCAGAUUUUUUUUUCAACUGAAGGAUUUGCUCUAUUUGGAGGAGGCAGAAUAAUCAUUUAAUAAUCUGAUUUUAUCUAGUACUAUAUAUGGUGAGAAUAUUAAACAUGUACACCAUAAUAUAGCUUCAUCCUAGUUACUGAAAUCUAACUGUGCAUGCUAGAAAGGUACUAAACAUUUUCUCAAGCAUUACAAUUUUCAUGAACUGCAGCAGUUACUGAUCAAAAGUUCCUACCAUAAUUUUCUUCAAGUGUUUUUUUAAAGGAUAUGUUCUGAAGUAUAAUUAACAAUUCACUUUAGAAAUAAUUUUAUUUUGAUUAAAAAACUUGGAGAUCUUUGUUUUAAACAUAGAUUUUAACAUUUUUAUCUAUUUUUAUUUAUAUAGGUAUUUUGCCUAUAAGUAUGUCUGUGAGUCAUAUACAUAUGUACCUGGUGCAUGCAGAAUUUAGAACAGGGCUCCAGAACUCCAGUUCCAGUAUCACAUCCCCUGGAACUGGAGUUGGAGAUAUUUGUGCACAUUAUGUAGGUGCUAGGAAUCAGACGCAGGUUUGAUUCUGACAGGGUCUCAUUUGUAGCUCUGACUGUCAUGGAACUCAGUAUGUUGACCAGGUUAGCCUGGAACACACAAAUAUCUCUCUGCCUUUUCCUCUAGAAUACUAGAAUUAACAUGGGAACCAAUAUGCCCGGCUGCCCUCUUAUUUUAAUUGAAUAUUUUAAACAAUGGGUCUAACAGUUCCACAGUCAAGUUUGUUCUUUCAGUUGCAUCAUCUUUUUUAGAUUUGGAAAAGAAUUAGCCUUUAUUAAAAGUGUUUCCCUAUGAAGAAUUAAGCAUACUUUUGAUCCUUUGUUUUGUGCAUUUGUUCGUUUGAAAACUGUUCUUGAAGCUCAAAAUUAUUUUCCUUACAAAAAUUAAAAUUCAGAUAAGAUUAGAUAUUUCUUAUCCAAAAUACAUUGACUGUUUUUUUUCUAUGUUGUGGAACAUUUCUGUAGACUUUACAGGUUGAACAUCCUUCAUCUGAACAUACCAAACCCUAAGUAUUCUAAAGUAUGAAGCAUGUUUGUGAUAUCUAUCAUUUAAUUUUAAGUUUCCAUAGCAUUAUUGAAAGAAAUUUAUCUAUAUCUAUUUUACUUGUAGACAUGGAAUCACCUAAUUUUUCUUCAAAAUGACCCUUUAUUUUUAAUAUAGAUGACAUUUAUAAGACGCUUCACAUAAAGAGAAAAUGGAUGGAAACUUAUGUCAAAGAAUCUUUCAAAGGCAGGAACCAGAAAUUAGAAAGAUUUUGCAAAAUGAACGAACGAGAGAGGAAGAACAUCAACAACAAAUUUUGUGAGCAGUAUAUAACUACAUUUCAGAAGUCUUAUAUGGAUGUACAGAAAUUCAAUGAGGAAAAAGAAAAAUCAGUGAAUAGUUGUCAAAAAGAACAACAAGCAUUGAAACUGUCCAAAUGUAGUCAGAACCAGACCCUGGAAGCAGGUUUUGAUGAACUUGGGGACCAAGAACUAAGAUAUGCUUUUUGGUGUAGAUGGUGAACUGAGAAAAAAAAAUGUCUAUGUUUAAAAGAGCCAACAUGGAGAAUAAUCUGAAGUACUCGUUUACUUUCCCAUCUUCAGAAAAAUGAAGCAUGAAAAAUUUUCACUUGCUAGUUAUAUAUAUAUAUAU
rnacentral:lncRNA from 1 species